GUAGGUGAACCUGCGGAAGGAUCAUUAACGAGUUAGGGUCUUCUAGGCCCGAUCUCCAACCCUUUGUAUAAUCACCAUGUUGCUUUGGCGGGCCCGUCUUUAACCGGACCGCCGGGAGGUUUCAAACCCCUGGCCAGUGCUCGUCAAUAGCCCUUCAUAAACUCUUUUAACCAUGUUAAAUCUGAAAAUAUUUAAAUAAACUAAAACUUUCAACAACGGAUCUCUUGGUUCUG
rnacentral:misc_RNA from 1 species